ACGUCUUCUUAGAUUACAACUUACACACAUUUGCAUGUUCAACAAUUCUCAGUGUAUGAAGAUGUGAUGACAGGCUGCCUUAAGGGUUACCAUGGCAACAUGGUCAGUGACAAGAUGGUGACUCCUGACAAAAAACCUUUGACUUCAAACACUUAAAACAAACAAAAAAGAUAAAUUUUUGGCAAGAACGAAUAUUUCAAAAUGCAUUGUACAAUUUGAGGUGGGGAAACAGCGCCACCAUCCACCAUUUAUCAGCCAUUUCUUUCAUUAUAAAAAAAAAAAAUAAAUAAAUAAAAUUGACAAGCUUUGUUAACUUAAUUUAGUUGGAAUUUGUGUUUCCCAUUUAAUUUGAACAACCACAUUCUGUAGGUCUGCUUAAAGUAACUCACUCACUUAUCCUCAACCGCUUACUCCAAUUAAAGGUCAUGGGGGGCUGGAGCCUAUCUCAGCAGUCAUAGGGCAUGAGCUGGGGUACACCCUGGACAGGACACCAAUCUGUCAAAGGGCUGGUUAAAACAACUAAAUUAAGUAAACAUUUUGUUUUUUUUAUAGUGUACUGACCAUGCUUAUAAUAUAUAUAUAUAUAUAUAUAUAUAUAUAUAUAUAUAUAUAUAUAUUUGCAAUAUUUCUCAAAAGAUUUUAUUAGAUUUCCACUAAAAUCUGUCGGACAAAAAACCCAUUAAAUGUUUGCAUUAAUCAGAAUCUGCAUGUGGAUUCUACAUCUUAACCAAAGUAAUUAAAAAAAGUAAAAUUAAAAUAGAGAAAAAUUGGGCAUUUAUUUAAAUAUUUUGAUCAAUUUCUGAAACAUACAAAGAAUAAUCUUAAAUUGUGUCAGAUUUGUUCAUUAAAAAUGUAACAGAAAAAUGAAACACUUUUUUUUGCUGUCCAAAUGUAAAAUUUGGACAGCAUUUGUGCUCCAUCCCUUUGCUGUUUUAAAGCAACUGUGUCAUGGCAUGGAGGUCUAAGAGGGGGCGCUGUUUCCAUUUUGAUCAGGGAAUGAAUGAACCUUUUAAAUAAAAUAUCCUUAUUUCAUCUGGAUAGAAAUUAGUUUGUAAGUUUAUCCAAUUAAAAGAUGUUAAUAAAAUCAGAAACUCUGGUGACACUUUGUCUUUUCAUGUGACUUCAUUUACCGAUCUUCGAAAUCAGAACAAAUACUGGAUCAGCCCAAACACUGAAGGUGGUGCAGCUCAAAAUACAUCAGAAUGGUUUGUCAUGUAGAAGGUACCAGACUGUGAAGAAGUGACGUCAUUAGGGGUGGAGCAAUGGAAACCCUUGAGUCGUCUGACGUGUCUCUGCGUCAAAGCCCAUGACCGAAUUAAGCAGACACACCAUUCAGUCCGCCACAAACUGAGUCUCCAUUUGAAUGUGUAUUGGAAGUGUGGAUUUCAACCUAUAUACCAGUUUUUAAUUUCUGUUGAUAAACCCAGGUGCAUUUCUAGAAAAUGUCUUACUUGGCAUUUCUUAGCAUGUGACGUACAUUUUAGAAAAAGCAACAUCCCACUGGCCGACAGAGUGAAACGAACGCUGCUACGUCCUAUAACAAAUCUUCUGAGCUUUCACUGGAAAGUGAAGGCUCAGAUUUACAUAGGAUGUACACACUUCACCCUGAAACACUUAACUUUUUCAGAGUCUGUGGGCCUUUGGAUCCUAAUAUGGUGAUGCAGCCGUUUGCGUUGAAAGAUGCUGUUUAACUGCUGCCAUGAACAUAAUGCUGUUUUUACAGGCUGCCUGAAAAUGCAGAUGUAUUUCUUACAUUGGAAAAAGUCAGAUGAUGUUAUUUUCAGAGAUAAUAGACUUUCUAUCUAACAUGCCAGAAUCCUGAGAGAGCUUGAAGAACUGACAGCGGAGCUGCAGUACAUUAUUCUCCAGCCAGCGAUCAUGCGUGAGGACUUUGACCACAUUUUAAAUAUGGACAGUCCACAACAUCAAUCUUGGAAAUCAUUCUACAAGUGAGUGAGUGCCCUGUUCAGUUGUUUUCCUUUUGUAUUUUAUUCUCCUCAGCGGAGCUGGUAGGCUUUAUCUUUAUUUUACUUUGUCAGGUGUUGGAUCUUGAUGUGUGUGGAGCAGCACACUGCUGUAACGUGCAUGCGGACCUCUCCGCUGUUUUCAGGACAUCUGAUCACACAGAUUUUUUUUUUUUUUUCAUAGUUUUAUCGAUGACAACCCUUAUAAGUGUGCACAAAGCUGAGCUUUUAGCAGAGACUGUUUUUAAACAGGCUGCGCUUAUGACUAAUGGCCAUGCACGCACACUAAAUCUCACAAUGGACAGCCGCAGCAACUUUUACUGUGACUGCAUCACAAUUAACGGUUAUCGCUUAAAAAUGAGUCAUCAUAACACGACAUCACACAUAUGUAAACUUUGAAAUUAAUCUGUGGCUCUGUUCUUAACGUUAGCAGCUACAUUCCAUUCAAGUGUGCGCUGAGACGUUUUCCUCAAAGCUAUGUAAACGCUGUUGGAAACGCUUGGGGAAAAUAAGUACUCACAAGUACUUUGCUUUCAGCAGGCUCCGUAGCUGUUUGUUGCGAAUGCUGGAUAUUUUGAAACUGGUCAUGGAAGUGUACAAAGUAAUUCCAGUGUAUCAUCGGAUGGUCACUAACAGCCGAAAUCUAAGUUGUUAUGAUUUUUGUGCGACAUAUCCUUUAAAGUAAAUUGUGACGGAAAAACCAAAGUAGUCAAAAACACCAAAUUAUACCCUGGACCCCAGUGGGUUAAUACGUAAUAAGGCAACUCUAACUAAAGGCACAAACAUGCUUCAACGUCACUAUAUAACACAAUGCAAAAGGCCUGACAUUUAUCCAUGAGGGGGCAGAUUUGAGCACAAUAUCUUUUGCUAUCUAUGUAUUGCUGUUGAGCAGAUUCUAAUUGUUUUUGGCAUAGUUUAGCUUUUUACAGAUGUUUGUGCCUUCAAUGAAAAUUGGAUUAAUCUCUCAUUUGGACAAUAAAAUCAUUAAAUUUGUAAAAACCUCCCAAUGCAACGUCUUCAAAUAACUUCUUCUGACAAAACCACAAUCUCAAAUACUAGCAGCUGUUCCUUUGACAACCGGUUAAG